rnacentral:rRNA from 1 species
GACGGAGGAUGCAAGCGUUAUCCGGAAUUAUUGGGCGUAAAGCGUCCGCAGGUGGACAUACAAGUCUGCUGUCAAAGUGCAGAGCUUAACUCUGUAAAGGCGGUGGAAACUGUAGGUCUUGAGUAUGGUAGGGGUAGAGGGAAUUCCCGGUGUAGCGGUGAAUGCGUAGAUAUCGGGAAGAACACCAGUGGCGAAAGCGCUCUACUGGGCCAUAACUGACACUGAGGGACGAAAGCUAGGGGAGCGAAAGGG